UGAGUAACCUGCCCUUAACUCUGGGAUAAGCCUGGGAAACUGGGUCUAAUACCGGAUAUGACUCCUCAACGCAUGGUGGGGGGUGGAAAGCUUUUUUGUGGUUUUGGAUGGACUCGCGGCCUAUCAGCUUGUUGGUGAGGUAAUGGCUCACCAAGGCGACGACGGGUAGCCGGCCUGAGAGGGCGACCGGCCACACUGGAACCGAGACACGGUCCAGACUCCUACGGGAGCAG
rnacentral:rRNA from 1 species